GAUGAACGCUAGCUACAGGCUCAACACAUGCAAGUCGAGGGGUAACAAGAGAAAAGCUUGCUUUUCUUGUUGACGACCGGCGCACGGGUGAGUAACGCGUAUCCAACCUGCCUAUAACUAGGGAAUAACCUUGCGAAAGUAAGACUAAUACCCUAUGAUUUCCUUUGAUGACAUCAGAUUAGGAAUAAUGAUUUAUCGGUUAUAGAUGGGGAGGCGUCUGAUUAGCUUGUUGGCGGGGUAACGGCCUACCAAGGCAACGAUCAGUAGGGGUUCUGCGAGGAAGGUCGCCCACCUUGGAACUGAGACACGAUCCACACUCCUCCGAGAGGCAGCAGCGAGGAAGAUUGUUGAAUAAGCGGAGGCCUGAACACGCCAAGUAGCGUGCAGGAUGACGUCCCUAUGGGUUGUAAACUGCUUUUGUACAGGGAUAAAGUUAGCCGCGUGGGGUUAUUUGUAGGUACUGUAUGAAUAAGGACCGGCUAAUUCCGUGCCAGCAGCCGCGGUAA
rnacentral:rRNA from 1 species